rnacentral:rRNA from 1 species
UACGGGGGGGGGCAAGCGUUGUCCGGAAUUAUUGGGCGUAAAGCGCACGUAGGCGGCUUUUUAAGUCAGGGGUGAAAUCCUGGAGCUCAACUCCAGAACUGCCUUCGAUACUGGCGAUCUCGAGUCCGGAAGAGGUGAGUGGAACUCCUAGUGUAGAGGUGGAAUUCGUAGAUAUUAGGAAGAACACCAGUGGCGAAGGCGGCUCACUGGUCCGGUACUGACGCUGAGGUGCGAAAGCGUGGGGAGCAAACAGG